UUAGAAACAGCUAUGGCAGAAGACAGGAUGGAAUCCGAGUCAAUGAUAAGCGCAGAGGAGAGAUCCAAUAAAAAGCACUAUGUGUGGAUUUGUGUGUUUUCCUUGCUGAUAAUCUCCAUUGUGACUGCGGGUAUCCUAUAUUACUUCUUAUCCGUUAAAAAAGAAGGAGGCCGAGAAGAAGCAGAUGUUGCAACUGUUGACGCAACUAUUGGGCCUGAGGUGAACGAGCAUCAGGAUACCAUGUCUCCGUCCGCGCCGGAGGAUUUAAUUUUACCAGCGACAAAGGCUACCACAAGCCAAUGUUCAAAUGAUGAUUUUGCAAAUAUCUUUUCUCCAACAUCAUUUGAUGAACGUACCAGGAGAUGCCUGCAGUCUUCCUACGACUACAAGUGGAACUGCAGUUGUAGUCAUAAUUGCUCCGCCUUCAGGAAGAGUAUACGGAAACAAUGCGAGAGGAGUAACGGUGCUGAUAAGGAGUCUUGUUGUAAAUAUUCGUAUUGCAAAAAGAGCAUUAGAUGUUCUCGGUAGUGAAUAAUAUUCGUGAAAUAGCGUACAGUAAUUUUGGAAACUGAUUUUAACUUUAAUUUUUAAACAGUAUUUCACUUUUUCCGCCUGAAUUUAAUGAUUAAAUCUGGUAUUUCAGGGAAUUUUAGCAGCUUCAUUACUUUGUUUGUUAUUUUGACUUAACUUUUUGUUUAUUUGUAUGCUGAUUUUGAAUAUCAUUUACGUAUUUCCGUGUUAUAUAAAAGCUUGAAUGUAGUAAGUUUGGAAUGUGAAUAUUUGAACCUUGUUUAACAGAUUUUGUUUUUUAACCUGUUGGACGGUAACUGUCGAUCCGAACAACUAAUUACAAUUAUGACUUUAGCACUAUCAUUCUCGCUUCAAAUAUGAUUAUUCGGAAAACUAAUUAUCAAUACUUCUAUACCAGUGUGUGUUUUUUCGGUUGUAACUUGUGAAAUAUUUAUUUGACACCUUUAGAACCUUGAAAUUAUUUAAGCUACUUAAUAAA